CUAAAUCGUACUCCCCAUACAGUCAGAGGCAGGGAGUCGAGGGCAGAGGCAGCAGGCGGAGAGAGGGAGAUAGGGCGAGGGAAGGAGAACGCGGAGAGAGACGAAGGGAGUGGGAGACCAGCGACAGCGAGCGCCAGGGCACCGCAGGCACACUGGAUGCCCAGUCCGCCGGCCCAGCCGCCCUCGGACCCUGGACCGUGCGUCGUGGGCACCAGAAACGAGACUCGGCCAAAUCCUGCCUCACCAGGUAGAUGAAACUCAAGAGAAAAGGUGUGGAUAAAUGAAACUAGCCCAUGAUGAACCUGUUUUCUCCGUGACCACAAUAUUAACCAGGAUGAAUGGCGGUGGCAGUGGGCCUGCAUCACAGGUUGCAGCAGAUGUUCUCAAUAUUUCUAUUAAAAUUUCCUUAUUUCCAUAUGCAAGAGGAGCCCCAGAGCUGCAUCCUUAUGGUAGCUACCAUGCCGUGAUGUAAGCUGCCAUUCACUGGGGAGCUUUGGCAAUAGAAUUGGCUAGAUCAGGAAGCCUAUGUCAACUAUGGAACAACAACUUGCAGCUCAUCUCUAUUGAUGAUGGAAUCUCGCUAUGUCACCAGGC
rnacentral:lncRNA from 10 species